rnacentral:rRNA from 1 species
UACAGAGACUGCAAGCGUUAUUCGGAUUCACUGGGCGUAAAGAGCUCGUAGGCGGCAUGGUAAGUCGGGUGUGAAAUCCCGGGGCUCAACCCCGGAACUGCACUCGAUACUGCCGUGCUCGAGUACUGGAGAGGAGACUGGAAUUUACGGUGUAGCAGUGAAAUGCGUAGAUAUCGGGAGGAACACCUAUGGCGAAGGCAGCUCGCUGGGCCACUACUGACGCUGAGAAGCGAAAGCAUGGGGAGCGAACAGG